rnacentral:rRNA from 1 species
UACAGAGGUUCCCGAGCGUUGUUCGGAUUCAUUGGGCGUAAAGGGUGCGUAGGCGGCUUCCUAAGUUUGAUGUGAAAUCCUGGGGCUCAACCCUGGAACUGCAUUGAAUACUGGGAGGCUAGAGUACUGGAGAGGAAACUGGAAUUUACGGUGUAGCAGUGAAAUGCGUAGAGAUCGUAAGGAAGACCAGUGGCGAAGGCGAGUUUCUGGACAGUUACUGACGCUGAGGCACGAAGGCCAGGGGAGCAAACGGG